rnacentral:rRNA from 1 species
CCUACGGGAGGCUGCAGUGGGGAAUAUUGCACAAUGGAGGAAACUCUGAUGCAGCGACGCCGCGUGAGUGAAGAAGUAAUUCGUUAUGUAAAGCUCUAUCAGCAGGGAAGAUAGUGACGGUACCUGACUAAGAAGCUCCGGCUAAAUACGUGCCAGCAGCCGCGGUAAUACGUAUGGAGCAAGCGUUAUCCGGAUUUACUGGGUGUAAAGGGAGUGUAGGUGGCCAUGCAAGUCAGAAGUGAAAAUCCGGGGCUCAACCCCGGAACUGCUUUUGAAACUGUGAGGCUAGAGUGCAGGAGGGGUGAGUGGAAUUCCUAGUGUAGCGGUGAAAUGCGUAGAUAUUAGGAGGAACACCAGUGGCGAAGGCGGCUCACUGGACUGUAACUGACACUGAGGCUCGAAAGCGUGGGGAGCAAACAGGAUUAGAUACCCCAGUAGUC